GUGGGUUGCUUUGAAGAUUUUGAGGAUUAGCGGCGUCAGGUCCAUUUCUAUGGGUCCCUCUGAGUCGAGUUCCUGUGGAUUCAGGAAUGGAUCGUCCAUGGACGUCUCUCCCGUCAGGUCCAUUUUGCGGCCUUUGCCCAAAACACACCGUUCGAUUGUAAAUUUGCCUAGUACCAUUACAAUUCUCGGGUCAUUUGCUGAAACACCCCGCCCGUCCAAAAAGAAAAAGUGAGUCGACAUUUGGCGCGCUACCUCGAACCGUGUACUCUGUAUACAAAACAGAGUUUGCCCAACUGAAAAAGGAUACAGUUACGUAUACCACGUCGACAUGGGUAUAUUGUACAACAGUAAUACUGACUUUUACUAGUUACUACAUGGUGUGCGCCCACAUUCCACAGUCAGAGUUUUUUCCCUUGGCACUGCAUUUGGAGCAAUAAUCCAUAAUCCAGCAAGUAAAAACCUUGAUCAUAUAUGCACGCAUGCUUGGUUCGAUUCAGUCUUCAGAAUUUCAGAUGGCACAUCUCGGCAACGAGAAAACUUUGCUGUAACUAGUGCUGAAUAGGGACAUAUAGUGCUGAACUUUUAUACCGUCUGGUGUCAAGCUGAAGCCUCCAGAGGAGUGUGGGAGAGAGCAAACGGCAAUUAGAUCUAGAUUCUGCAGCUAUAAAUGUAAUGUGCACACUAACUAACUUGCUUGUACUUUUUUUUUCGAAAAGGGGAAGCGAUCCCGGCAUCUGCAUCAAUUGAUGCACGCAGCCAACUUGCUUGUAUUGUCGAUAGCAAUAGCCCUAUGACAUAUGACAAGAAGCCGCAAGAUACAAUACUUGUGAUUAUUUUCAUUAGAGAAAAAAAACUACUCAAAACAUCCAUCCCAAGCAAAAAAAAACGUUAUGAGCACACAAAAAUGUUAGCUUUUCCUUUUUGGACGGGCGGUGUGUUUUAGCAAAUGGCCCGAGUAUUGUAAUGGUACUGGGCAAAUCCACAAUCGGGCGGUGUGUUUGGACAAAGCCCGCAAAAUAAUGGUAUCCUGUGACCAAUUUCCCCUAUUUAAAUUGGAAAGGUAAUUUUUGCUCUGAUUAUUUUACUGAUUUGAAGUGUUUGUAAUAUGUCAGCAACUUUGAAAGAAAGAGCAGCAAUGAUCCAUUCCCAGUUAAGGAGGCCAUACCUGCAAGCAGCAGCGAAAUCAAUCAAUAAAAAGGUGGUAGAUCAAUCAAUAAAAAUGUGGUAGAGUAAUUUAGCAUCAAAUCUUCAAAAUUGUAGUAUAGGCCUGGGCCUCCUUUAGCAGAAUAAAAAUGCCAUUUUCUUAUUUACUCUAGCCAUCCUGUUAUGCACAGCUUUUAUUAGGAUAAGAAUUCUGAACCACAAAUUUGUCCUAGAGAUUGUCCUCGGAGAUGCCUCUUCAGCUAGCCUCAGAUACACUCUUACGAAUGCUGAGAGAGCGGGUGCACCGUCAUCGCCAAGGGCAGGCAAACAUAUUUAAUUCGUGGGCUUAACUUGACUUUUUUUUAUCAAACUUUGGAUUUAGGUGAGAUAUGAGAUUCUGACAUGCCGAUUCCAUUCCUCUAUUUUUCUUCGUGUGUGGUAGUUCAUAAUUUAUCUCAUGAAACAAAACUUGGUGCACGAUUGACGAGAUUGGAGGAGAAAUCAAGGCUCGUGACAGUUUUGGUGUU